rnacentral:rRNA from 1 species
UACGGAGGGUGCGAGCGUUGUCCGGAUUUAUUGGGCGUAAAGAGCUCGUAGGCGGUUUGGUAAGUCUGGUGUGAAAUCUCCACGCUCAACGUGGAGGGGCCACCCGAUACUGCCAUGACUGGAGUCCGGUAGAGGAGUGUGGAAUUUCCGGUGUAGCGGUGAAAUGCGUAGAUAUCGGAAGGAACAUCAGUGGCGAAAGCGACUUCCUGGACCAGUACCGACGUUCAGGCACGAAAGCGUGGGGAGCAAACAGG